AUUGAACGCUGGCGGCAGGCCUAACACAUGCAAGUCGAACGGUAACAGGAAACAGCUUGCUGUUUCGCUGACGAGUGGCGGACGGGUGAGUAAUGUCUGGGAAACUGCCUGAUGGAGGGGGAUAACUACUGGAAACGGUAGCUAAUACCGCAUAACGUCGCAGGACCAAAGAGGGGGACCUUCGGGCCUCUUGCCAUCGGAUGUGCCCAGAUGGGAUUAGCUAGUAGGUGGGGUAACGGCUCACCUAGGCGACGAUCCCUAGCUGGUCUGAGAGCAUGACCAGCCACACUGGAACUGAGACACGGUCCAGACGCCUACGGGAGGCAGCAGUGGGGAAUAUUGCACAAUGGGCGCAAGCCUGAUGCAGCCAUGUCGCGUGUAUGAAGAAGGCCUUCGGGUUGUAAAGUACUUUCAGCGGGGAGGAAGGGAGUAAAGUUAAUACCUUUGCUCAUUGACGUUACCCGCAGAAGAAGCACCGGCUAACUCCGUGCCAGCCGCCGCCGUAA
rnacentral:rRNA from 1 species